rnacentral:sRNA from 1 species
GGGAAGGAUAGAGAAGUAUGCGCAAGGCCAAACCCCCAACCCGCAAACCUCAUCAUCCACCCACUUCUAGAUGAGCCGUAAGUUUAGCUCUAGGUUUUUUGCUGUUUAGGUUCAAAUGAUGGGACUUCUUGUCCCCUUGGGGAAUAAUUUUGAUCUCCUGACUCUCCCUUCUCUUAGUCGACUCUUCAACUAGCCUCUGUCUGUCCUUCUCCCAUCUCACCUUCAUCCCUCACUGAUCACCCCGAUCUGAUCCCCCUUGCUCCACCUGUAGCCCCCAACUCACUCCCACUGCCCCCUGCCUCUCUCCUCCUAACCCAGCCAGUUCAGGCUUCUAACCCAGUUCAGGCUCCUAACCCAGACAGUUCUCCGGCAAGGUUUCUGCAACUAAGAAAAGUAAACCCCAGAGACAGAAUGAAAGAGCCGGGAGUUGGAAGGACCAAGAGCAGAGACAGAGAGCAAGGACCGAAACUGCUUCUUCAUGACACCAAAAUACAAGUAAAACAUGCAGUCAGCCAUUCACGUGAUCGAGAGCUGAGUCGGAGAUGUGCAGCCCAAAUACCACAACAACUCGCUGCAUUUUUCACUUUCCGUCUAAUGUUUCGAAAUCAAGGCACUGACGUGAAGAUCAAAGACAGUAUAAGAAAGAAAGCAAGAGACAGAUGACAGAGUCCUCCCCCCCCCCAAAAUAAAGAAAAAACAGGUGCAUGAUUAGAGAGAUGUAGAGAAGUUAGAAAACUAGGGAGCGGGAGCAGAGUCGCUGUCAAAUGGAGAGAACUUAGAGGAUCAAGGAGGAGAGAAAGGGAACCAACCAGCCGUUGGCCUUGCACAUACUUCAGUCUGCUUGAUCAACAAGACUCUUAAAGUAGAAAUGUUUGUUGCAUUCUUACAAAGAAGACAAUGCCUUCAGCAGUGUUUCCCAUGGUGAAUGGUGUGUACUGGGGGUAAAGGGAGAGUAGAGCUAGGAAUUGGUAUUGAGUAUCUCGCCUCGGAGCUACAGGUGCCAGCUCUUGUGGGGAUGUCCUCAGCCAUGUGUAGAGCCAGAGCUGAUUUAUUCCAUCUGGCCUUGCCCAGCCAGAGGUUGGACAUCUGGCUAUAGGCAAAGCCCUCCCAGAAACUAGGGAAUGAGGCAAGCGCUUAGCUUGGGGAGCCCAGGAGACCUAUGAAGAGAAGGAGGCAGAUGUCAGCAAGCAGGCUGUCUGUGUACUUAGUGAGGUGGCUUUGAGCUGGAGCCUGGGCCAAGCCAGGGUGGGGACCAGGUGUGUGGAUGGGGCCAAGCCUAGGAAUAGUGCUAGAGCAGGGACAGGGAUUGGGCAGAGCCAGGGACUAACACAUCUGAGAGCUCAUUGCCAACUUGCUUAGCCCUCGGCCCCUGCCUUCUUCCCUGGUAGGCAUCAGACUCAGCUUGGCUCUUCUCAGCCCCCACUGCAGCUUCUGAUCACAGAGAGCACAGGGCAGUGAUUUAGGGAGACACACUAGCUCUAGAAUCAGACACAUGUGGAUUCAUGUGCCCACUCUGCCCCUUACGGGCUCCACUGGCCUCGGGCGAGUCAUAGCCUCUCUGAACCUCCCUUUCUUCUUUGGUAAAAUUGGGGUCAUCAAUGCCUGCCCCCCCUCCAAGCUGUGGUACUGACACUCUUCUCCCCAGGGACAGAGCUGCCCAGCCCUCCGUCUGUGUGGUUUGAAGCAGAAUUUUUCCACCACAUCCUCCACUGGACACCCAUCCCAAAUCAGUCUGAAAGUACCUGCUAUGAAGUGGCGCUCCUGAGGUAUGGAAUAGAGUCCUGGAACUCCAUCUCCAACUGUAGCCAGACCCUGUCCUAUGACCUUACCGCAGUGACCUUGGACCUGUACCGCAGCAAUGGCUACCGGGCCAGAGUGCGGGCUGUGGACGGCAGCCGGCACUCCAACUGGACCGUCACCAACACCCGCUUCUCUGUGGAUGAAGUGACUCUGACAGUUGGCAGUGUGAACCUAGAGAUCCACAAUGGCUUCAUCCUCGGGAAGAUUCAGCUACCCAGGCCCAAGAUGGCCCCCGCAAAUGACACAUAUGAAAGCAUCUUCAGUCACUUCCGAGAGUAUGAGAUUGCCAUUCGCAAGGUGCCGGGAAACUUCACGUUCACACACAAGAAAGUAAAACAUGAAAACUUCAGCCUCCUAACCUCUGGAGAAGUGGGAGAGUUCUGUGUCCAGGUGAAACCAUCUGUCGCUUCCCGAAGUAACAAGGGGAUGUGGUCUAAAGAGGAGUGCGUCUCCCUCACCAGGCAGUAUUUCACCGUGACCAACGUCAUCAUCUUCUUUGCCUUUGUCCUGCUGCUCUCCGGAGCCCUCGCCUACUGCCUGGCCCUCCAGCUGUAUGUGCGGCGCCGAAAGAAGCUGCCCAGUGUCCUGCUCUUCAAGAAGCCCAGCCCCUUCAUCUUCAUCAGCCAGCGUCCCUCCCCAGAGACCCAAGACACCAUCCACCCGCUUGAUGAGGAGGCCUUUCUGAAGGUGUCCCCAGAGCUGAAGAACUUGGACCUGCACGGCAGCACAGACAGUGGCUUUGGCAGCACCAAGCCAUCCCUGCAGACUGAAGAGCCCCAGUUCCUCCUCCCUGACCCUCACCCCCAGGCUGACAGAACGCUGGGAAACGGGGAGCCCCCUGUGCUGGGGGACAGCUGCAGUAGUGGCAGCAGCAAUAGCACGGACAGCGGGAUCUGCCUGCAGGAGCCCGGCCUGAGCCCCAGCACAGGGCCCACCUGGGAGCAACAGGUGGGGAGCAACAGCAGGGGCCAGGAUGACAGUGGCAUUGGCCUAGUUCAAAACUCUGAGGGCCGGGCUGGGGACACACAGCGUGGCUCAGCCUUGGGCCACCACAGUCCCCCAGAGCCUGAGGUGCCUGGGGAAGAAGACCCAGCUGCUGUGGCAUUCCAGGGCUACUUGAGGCAGACCAGAUGUGCUGAAGAGAAGGCAACCAAGACAGGCUGCCGGGAGGAAGAAUCUCCCUUGACAGAUGGCCUUGGCCCCAAAUUCGGGAGAUGCCUGGUUGAUGAGGCAGGCUUGCAUCCACCAGCCCUGGCCAGGGGCUAUUUGAAACAGGAUCCUCUAGAAAUGACUCUGGCUUCCUCAGGGGCCCCAACGGGACAGUGGAACCAGCCCACUGAGGAAUGGUCACUCCUGGCCUUGAGCAGCUGCAGUGACCUGGGAAUAUCUGACUGGAGCUUUGCCCAUGACCUUGCCCCUCUAGGCUGUGUGGCAGCCCCAGGUGGUCUCCUGGGCAGCUUUAACUCAGACCUGGUCACCCUGCCCCUCAUCUCUAGCCUGCAGUCAAGUGAGUGACUCAGGCUGAGAGGCUGCUUUUGAUUUUAGCCAUGCCUGCACCUCUGCCUGGACCAGGACGAGGGCCCCCGGGGCAGAAGUUAGGCAUGAGGCAGUCUGGGCACUUUUCUGCAAGUCCACUGGGGCCAGCCCCAGCCAGGCCCUGCAGGGCUGGUCAGGGUACCUGGGGCAGGAGGAGGCCAACUCACUGAACUAGUGCAGGGUAUGUGGGUGGCACUGACCUGUUCUGUUGACUGGGGCCCUGCAGACUCUGGCAGAGCUGAGAAGGGCAGGGACCUUCUCCCUCCUUGGAACUCUUUCCUGUAUCAUAAAGGAUUAUUUGCUCAGGGGAACCAUGGGGCUUUCUGGAGUUGUGGUGAGGCCACCAGGCUGAAGUCAGCUCAGACCCAGACCUCCCUGCUUAGGCCACUCGAGCAUCACAGCUUCCAGCAGGAGGAAGGGCUGUAGGAAUGGAAGCUUCAGGGCCUUGCUGCUGGGGUCAUUUUUAGGGGAAAAAGGAGGAUAUGAAGGCCGAGUUUGAUCUCUGGGAUGGUCACAUGGGGAACCUCCCCUCAUCGGGCCUCUGAGGCAGGAAGCUUGUCACUGGAAGAUCUUAAGGUAUAUAUUUUCUGGACACUCAAACGCAUCAUAAUGGAUUCACUGAGGGGAGACAAAGGGAGCCGAGACCCUGGAUGGGGCUUCCAGCUCAGAACCCAUCCCUCUGGUGGGUACCUCUGGCACCCAUCUGCAAAUAUCUCCCUCUCUCCAACAAAUGGAGUAGCAUCCCCCUGGGGCACUUGCUGAGGCCAAGCCACUCACAUCCUCACUUUGCUGCCCCACCAUCUUGCUGACAACUUCCAGAGAAGCCAUGGUUUUUUGUAUUGGUCAUAACUCAGCCCUUUGGGCGGCCUCUGGGCUUGGGCACCAGCUCAUGCCAGCCCCAGAGGGUCAGGGUUGGAGGCCUGGGCUUGUGUUUGCUGCUAAUGUCCAGCUACAGACCCAGAGGAUAAGCCACUGGGCACUGGGCUGGGGUCCCUGCCUUGUUGGUGUUCAGCUGUGUGAUUUUGGACUAGCCACUUGUCAGAGGGCCUCAAUCUCCCAUCUGUGAAAUAAGGACUCCACCUUUAGGGGACUCUCCAUGUUUGCUGGGUAUUAGCCAAGCUGGUCCUGGGAGAAUGCAGAUACUGUCCGUGGACUACCAAGCUGGCUUGUUUCUUAUGCCAGAGGCUAACAGAUCCAAUGGGAGUCCAUGGUGUCAUGCCAAGACAGUAUCAGACACAGCCCCAGAAGGGGGCAUUAUGGGCCCUGCCUCCCCAUAGGCCAUUUGGACUCUGCCUUCAAACAAAGGCAGUUCAGUCCACAGGCAUGGAAGCUGUGAGGGGACAGGCCUGUGCGUGCCAUCCAGAGUCAUCUCAGCCCUGCCUUUCUCUGGAGCAUUCUGAAAACAGAUAUUCUGGCCCAGGGAAUCCAGCCAUGACCCCCACCCCUCUGCCAAAGUGCUCUUAGGUGCCAGUCUGGUAACUGAACUCCCUCUGGAGGCAGGCUUGAGGGAGGAUUCCUCAGGGUUCCCUUGAAAGCUUUAUUUAUUUAUUUUGUUCAUUUAUUUAUUGGAGAGGCAGCAUUGCACAGUGAAAGAAUUCUGGAUAUCUCAGGAGCCCCGAAAUUCUAGCUCUGACUUUGCUGUUUCCAGUGGUAUGACCUUGGAGAAGUCACUUAUCCUCUUGGAGCCUCAGUUUCCUCAUCUGCAGAAUAAUGACUGACUUGUCUAAUUCACAGGGAUGUGAGGUUCUGCUGAGGAAAUGGGUAUGAAUGUGCCUUGAACACAAAGCUCUGUCAAUAAGUGAUACAUGUUUUUUAUUCCAAUAAAUUGUCAAGACCACAGGAAUCGUGUGAAACCAGUCAGAUUGCUGAUGGCACAUUGGUUCAUGGAGGACUCGGUUGUUGAUAAUGAGGAGGGUAAUAAUGUGUGGGAUGUGUGAUGUCACUUUAAGGAAACAGGGCUGAGGACUCAGGCUUAAAUCUGACAGACCCAGGGAGUCCUCAUGCUACCUGUAUUGUGACCUUGGGCCCAUUACUUAUCCUCAUCAAGUUUUAAUUUCCCCACCUGUCACGUGGAGUUGACAACUCCCCAUGAGGAUGUUGUGAGGUGUAAAUGAAAUUGCACAUAAAAAGUUUAACAUGGUGCCAGGCAUGUGGUACUAUGUGCCACUAGCUGUCAUUGGCUGUUGAGGCUGUAAAGAAAAAUGGACAGCUUUUCUUGGAAACAAGUGAAAAUGAAAGCGAUAAGGAGUGUGCAGCGGGACUCUUUCAGAAGACAGAAAAGGAAGAGGUGGAAAGCACAAUGCAACGUUUUGGAUGUGAGUUCUGACAAUGUGGAGAGAAGAACCUGGAAACCCCUCCUUUCCAGGAAGACAGCAAACCGGACCUCCCUGGAGCUCUGUUCCCAGAGCCCUGUCCCUGGCUCCCCUUGCCCAGGAGGCGUGUCUCAGCGGUGGUUCUCCUAAGUGCGGAAGCCAUCUGCACUCUAUUCUAGAAGCAGCCUGCUCCCUCCAUGAAAAACCCCAUGUGGGUUUGAAUUUCUCCCUGUGCUCAGCCCAGUGGGUAGAACAAACCCAGGCCCGCGGCCUGAGCUUCCUGGGUGUGCUUUUCUCUUCGUCCUACCUGAAUCCCCUAGAAGGUGACUGGGGACACCUCACCUCUUUUCCACCGUGUCAUCUCCAAUCUUGCCUCACCCUGUUCAUUCUGAGAAAAUAACUAGUUCUGAGGAAGUGCUGAUCCUAUCAUCUUCAGAGAACUUGACUAAUAUCACGCCAUUUCAGACCUGCUCAGGCUUUUGCCCUAGAGCCCUCCUUGUCAAUAUUGGAAAGAAAAGUAGUGUUGGUCACUUUCUCCUGGAAAUGAGGUGUUAGCGAUGGCUUAUUCCCCAUGGAAAAGGCCCCUAAGGUCUAAAUAUAAAGAUUCAGAGAGUAAAAGGAAUUACAUUCAAGGAACUGCAGCCAGUUUGGUUGGAUACGACAGAUCAAAGAGCAGCUUGCAGGUCAGAAGGAAGUCAGAAGACGCAGCCCUUGGUGCAGGCCCUGCCUGCUCCGUUUCUGUGGAAUGAGUAGGAGUUUGCGCUGGUUCAUCUCUGCUUUGAGGCUGCUCUGUAACCACUCACCACAGACAGGCCCUUGGGAGAAACUGAGCGAGUCCUUCCACGCAGCCGGGGCUGAUGAGACACUUGCAGAUUUCUUGGGAAUUUGGAUUACAGUCCCCAACAGAAGGCCCCGGCUGUUCUUCAACUGAGCAAUCUCCUUCAAGGGCUUUUCCAAGCUGAGGAAUGCGUAAUGCUGUCUUUGUGUGAGCUAAUGGAACUUCCUCUUAGUACAGAGAGGGGGUAAAUGGGCCACCAUUGAGUGAAGAGGAAAUUCAAUAAACUGUGUUUUCCCAACUUUGUAAA